rnacentral:rRNA from 1 species
GACUUUUGACUAAUUUGACCUCAAAUCAGGUAGGACUACCCGCUGAACUUAAGCAUAUCAAUAAGCGGAGGAAAAGAAACUAACAAGGAUUCCCCUAGUAACUGCGAGUGAAGAGGGAAAAGCUCAAAUUUAAAAUCUGGUAGUCUCUGGCUGCCCGAGUUGUAAUCUAGAGAAGCAUUAUCCGCGCCGGACCAUGUACAAGUUUUCCUGGAAUGGAGCGUCAUAGAGGGUGAGAAUCCCGUCUUUGACAUGGGCUACCGGGGCUUUGUGAUGUGCUCUCCAAGAGUCGAGUUGUUUGGGAAUGCAGCUCUAAAUGGGUGGUAAAUUCCAUCUAAAGCUAAAUAUUGGCGAGAGACCGAUAGCGAACAAGUACCGUGAGGGAAAGAUGAAAAGAACUUUGGAAAGAGAGUUAAACAGUACGUGAAAUUGUUGAAAGGGAAACGCUUGAAGUCAGUCGCGUCUGCCAGGAAUCAACCUUGCAUUUUUGCUGGGUGUACUUUCUGGUUGGACGGGUCAGCAUCAAUUUUGAUCAGUGGAAAAAGUUCAGAGGAAUGUGGCACCUUCGGGUGUGUUAUAGCCUUUGUUCGUAUACAUUGAUUGGGAUUGAGGAACUCAGCAUGCCGYAAGGCCGGGUCUUUUGACUACGUUCAUGCUUAGGAUGCUGGCAUAAUGGCUUUAAUCGACCCGUCUUGAAACACGGACCAAGGAGUCUAACAUGCCCGCGAGUGUUUGGGUGGAAAACCCAGACGCGUAAUGAAAGUGAAGGUUGAGAUCCCUGUCGUGGGGAGCAUCGACGCCCGGACCAGAACUUCUGUGACGGAUCCGCGGUAGAGCGUGUAUGUUGGGACCCGAAAGAUGGUGAACUAUGCCUGAAUAGGGUGAAGCCAGAGGAAACUCUGGUGGAGGCUCGUAGCGAUUCUGA